AUGGCAAUAAGGCCACAAGAGAUGAGGCAGAUCGCUGACGGCACCGGCAAGAGGCGGAGAAACCCUAGAGUGGGACUUGCUUAUGGAAGGGGCAACAGCAUGUACAAAACACUUGAGAGAUACCGCACCUGCAACUGCAACUCACAAGAAGCAACCCCUCUAGCAGAAAAUGAAAUAAAUUACCAGCAAUAUCUGAAGCUGAAGACCAGACUUGAAUAUCUUGAAAGUUCACAAAGAAAUAUUCUCGGUGAGGAUCUGGGCCCACUUAGCAUGAAGGAACUUGAGCAAAUUGAGAACCAAAUAGACAUAUCCCUCAAGCAUAUCAGGACAAGAAAGAAUAAAGUAUUACUUGAUGAGCUAUAUGACCUGAAAAGUAAGGAGCAAGAAUUGCAGGAUCAAAACAAAGACCUGAGGAAGAAGUUGCAAGACACCAGCUGUGCCGAGAAUGCGCUCCAUAUGGCCUGGCAAGAUAGAGGACAGAGUAGCUCAAGUGGGCAUGCCAUUGAUACUACUUAUCCAGGACUUGUGCAACACCCGGAACAUGAUUCCUCCAUGCAAGUUGGAUACAAUAAUCAGGUCUACGUGGACCAGCCGAACAACAACGAAGACAUGGCUUCUCAGCGCCUUCAUGGACUUGGAACAUCUGCAGGUUGGAUAUGA
rnacentral:rRNA from 1 species